CCUACGGGUGGCAGCAGUGGGGAAUAUUGGACAAUGGGCGAAAGCCUGAUCCAGCCAUGCCGCGUGUGUGAAGAAGGCCUUCGGGUUGUAAAGCACUUUCAGUGGGGAAGAAAGCCUUGGGGCUAAUACCCUCGAGGAAGGACAUCACCCACAGAAGAAGCACCGGCUAACUCCGUGCCAGCAGCCGCGGUAAUACGGAGGGUGCGAGCGUUAAUCGGAAUUACUGGGCGUAAAGCGCGCGUAGGCGGUCUGAUAAGCCGGUUGUGAAAGCCCCGGGCUCAACCUGGGAACGGCAUCCGGAACGGUCAGGCUAGAGUGCAGGAGAGGAAGGUAGAAUUCCCGGGGUAGCGGUGAAAUGCGUAGAGAUCGGGAGGAAUACCAGUGGCGAAGGCGGCCUUCUGGACUGACACUGACGCUGAGGUGCGAAAGCGUGGGUAGCAAACAGGAUUAGAUACCCCUGUAGU
rnacentral:rRNA from 1 species